rnacentral:rRNA from 1 species
UACGUAGGGUGCAAGCGUUGUCCGGAAUUAUUGGGCGUAAAGAGCUCGUAGGCGGUUUGUCGCGUCGAAUGUGAAAACCCGGGGCUCAACCCCGGGCCUGCAUUCGAUACGGGCAGACUAGAGUUCGGUAGGGGAGUCUGGAAUUCCUGGUGUAGCGGUGAAAUGCACAGAUAUCAGGAGGAACACCGGUGGCGAAGGCGGGACUCUGGGCCGAUACUGACGCUGAGGAGCGAAAGCGUGGGGAGCAAACAGG